GUGGCUCAGUUGGCAGAGCUUUGGACUGUAGAUCGGUCCAUCCAGGGUUUGAAACCCUGUCACA